rnacentral:rRNA from 1 species
UACGGAGGGUGCAAGCGUUAUCCGGAUUCACUGGGUUUAAAGGGUGCGUAGGUGGAAUGGUAAGUCAGUGGUGAAAUCCUAGAGCUUAACUCUAGAACUGCCAUUGAUACUAUCUGUCUUGAAUAUUGUGGAGGUAAGCGGAAUAUGUCAUGUAGCGGUGAAAUGCUUAGAUAUGACAUAGAACACCUAUUGCGAAGGCAGCUUACUACGCAUAUAUUGACGCUGAGGCACGAAAGCGUGGGGAUCAAACAGG